GAACAAUAAUUAUCCAGAAAAGUAAGAAAGAAAGAAUUCCAUGGCCAAUAAGUAGUAAUAGAUCAAAUAUAUAUCACCACCGUUCUCAUUAUUCCUACGAGUUUGUGAAGAAAACAUGAAAGAUCCAUCGUCAUAAAUAAAAGCAAAAUAAACCAGUACACAAUUAAUUAUAAUUAUCAAGGCUGUUUUCUCCUAUAAGAAAUGCUCUAAAAUAUAUACCAAUUCGGUGAUAUAUCUGCAAUUACCUUAUAUGCAUCUACUUUAACAUUCUGCUGUCAGAGAUGGAACUGACCGCAGUUUGUUUUUCUCAUGCUCUUUUUUUUAAGAAAAAAAAAAGAAAUUAAAUACAUGUGUAUCGCCAUAUGCCGUGAUGUAAAUUAGAACAGUUCUUAUAACGAGUGUAUGUUGUUUUUGGGUUCCCUUCCCUCGAUCUCUCACAAAGAAGACCCGUGAGGCAUGUCUUUAUCUGUCUCUUUAUUUUCUGAUUUUAGAUUUGUUCUUGGCAAAUUAAAGACGUAUGCAUAACAUGCAAGAAGCGAAAUACCAAAGAUCAUCUUUACCAUGGAAGGAGAAGUACUUCUUGAAGCAGUGACCUAAAAUUUAUUAUUUCUUUCUCAUACAGACGGCCACCUCUAAAAAAGUCUCUCCGCCGUUGAAAUUUCAAAAAAGACGACCUCUACUCUUCCAGCCGCAGCAUACAGCAGUGCUGUAGCAAGGUACCCUCUGAUACAAUACUACGAUGGACCCCUCUGGCUAGCUACCAUUGAUUGUACUAGCAAACAAAACACAAGCAGACAAAUUUAUGGUGAGCGGAAGAGUGGG
rnacentral:lncRNA from 1 species